rnacentral:rRNA from 1 species
AUGCUGGAGGUAUCAGAAGUGCGAAUGCUGACAUAAGUAACGAUAAAGCGGGUGAAAAGCCCGCUCGCCGGAAGACCAAGGGUUCCUGUCCAACGUUAAUCGGGGCAGGGUGAGUCGACCCCUAAGGCGAGGCCGAAAGGCGUAGUCGAUGGGAAACAGGUUAAUAUUCCUGUACUUGGUGUUACUGCGAAGGGGGGACGGAGAAGGCUAUGUUGGCCGGGCGACGGUUGUCCCGGUUUAAGCGUGUAGGCUGGUUUUCCAGGCAAAUCCGGAAAAUCAAGGCUGAGGCGUGAUGACGAGGCACUACGGUGCUGAAGCAACAAAUGCCCUGCUUCCAGGAAAAGCCUCUAAGCAUCAGGUAACAUUAAAUCGUACCCCAAACCGACACAGGUGGUCAGGUAGAGAAUACCAAGGCGCUUGAGAGAACUCGGGUGAAGGAACUAGGCAAAAUGGUGCCGUAACUUCGGGAGAAGGCACGCUGAUAUGUAGGUGAAGCGACUUGCUCGUGGAGCUGAAAUCAGUCGAAGAUACCAGCUGGCUGCAACUGUUUAUUAAAAACACAGCACUGUGCAAACACGAAAGUGGACGUAUACGGUGUGACGCCUGCCCGGUGCCGGAAGGUUAAUUGAUGGGGUUAGCGGUAACGCGAAGCUCUUGAUCGAAGCCCCGGUAAACGGCGGCCGUAACUAUAACGGUCCUAAGGUAGCGAAAUUCCUUGUCGGGUAAGUUCCGACCUGCACGAAUGGCGUAAUGAUGGCCAGGCUGUCUCCACCCGAGACUCAGUGAAAUUGAACUCGCUGUGAAGAUGCAGUGUACCCGCGGCAAGACGGAAAGACCCCGUGAACCUUUACUAUAGCUUGACACUGAACAUUGAGCCUUGAUGUGUAGGAUAGGUGGGAGGCUUUGAAGUGUGGACGCCAGUCUGCAUGGAGCCGGCCUUGAAAUACCACCCUUUAAUGUUUGAUGUUCUAACGUUGGCCCCUGACCGGGGUUGCGGACAGUGUCUGGUGGGUAGUUUGACUGGGGCGGUCUCCUCCUAAAGAGUAACGGAGGAGCACGAAGGUUGGCUAAUCCUGGUCGGACAUCAGGAGGUUAGUGCAAUGGCAUAAGCCAGCUUGACUGCGAGCGUGACGGCGCGAGCAGGUGCGAAAGCAGGUCAUAGUGAUCCGGUGGUUCUGAAUGGAAGGGCCAUCGCUCAACGGAUAAAAGGUACUCCGGGGAUAACAGGCUGAUACCGCCCAAGAGUUCAUAUCGACGGCGGUGUUUGGCACCUCGAUGUCGGCUCAUCACAUCCUGGGGCUGAAGUAGGUCCCAAGGGUAUGGCUGUUCGCCAUUUAAAGUGGUACGCGAGCUGGGUUUAGAACGUCGUGAGACAGUUCGGUCCCUAUCUGCCGUGGGCGCUGGAGAACUGAGGGGGGCUGCUCCUAGUACGAGAGGACCGGAGUGGACGCAUCACUGGUGUUCGGGUUGUCAUGCCAAUGGCACUGCCCGGUAGCUAAAUGCGGAAGAGAUAAGUGCUGAAAGCAUCUAAGCACGAAACUUGCCCCGAGAUGAGUUCUCCCUGACUCCUUGAGAGUCCUGAAGGAACGUUGAAGACGACGACGUUGAUAGGCCGGGUGUGUAAGCGCAGCGAUGCGUUGAGCUAACCGGUACUAAUGAACCGUGAGGCUUAACCUUACAACGCCGAAG